CCCUCCCAGCACCGUGAGGGACAGGGCACAGCAGGCACUAGCCACUACUCACAGUCACCCAGUGACUCAAUGGCCAAGUCAGACCUCAAGCCCAAGUCUUCUGACUUUCAAUCUGAUUCUCUUUCCACGACAGCCUCUCAUUCUCAAAUUUCUGGGGCUAUAUUCCUCAGUAAUCCUUAUGCAGAAGAGGGGAGAGGCAGGCUGAGAGCAAUAGAAGAAGAGGAUAAAGAAGAACCUCACCUGGGAGGAAUGGAAAAGAGAAGUCAGUGGAGGGAAAACUUCUGCUCCAAACCAAUUUCACGUGAUCUUCGAUUCCUCUCCUCAGCUCCCAAAGGGGAGCUCUGACAAUCAGCCACCUCAGCAACACCUAAUAGUUACAAAUAUAAUAGUUAUAAAUAUAAGAA